GACGAACGCUGGCGGCGUGCUUAACACAUGCAAGUCGAACGGAAAGGCCCUGCUUUUGUGGGGUGCUCGAGUGGCGAACGGGUGAGUAACACGUGAGUAACCGGCCCUUGUCUUUGGUAUAACUUCAGGAAACUGGGGCUAAUACCGGAUAGGAGCUCCUGCUGCAUGGUGGGGGUGGGAAAUUUGCGGCGGGUGGGGAUGGACUCGCGGCUUAGGAGCUUGUUGGUGGGGUAGUGGCUUACCAAGGCAUGGAUGGGUAGCCGGCCUGAGAGGGUGACCGGGCCCAGUGGGCGUGGGGAGCCGCCAAGAGGCAUACGUGGAGAAGGGGUGGGGAAUAGUGCCAAAUGGGCCGAAGGCGUGUGGAGCAACGCCGGGUGGGGGAUGACGGCUUUCGGGUUGGAAAACGCUUUCGUUUGUGACGAAGCGUGAGUGCGGUAAAUGGGGAAAGAAGCACCGGCAACCUACGU
rnacentral:rRNA from 1 species